rnacentral:tRNA from 1 species
GCCGACGUGGUGAAAUGGUAGACACGCUAUCUUGAGGGGGUAGUAGCUAUUAAAGCUGUAUGAGUUCAAAUCUCAUCGUCGGCA